UACGUAGGGUGCGAGCGUUGUCCGGAAUUAUUGGGCGUAAAGAGCUUGUAGGUGGUUUGUCGCGUCUGCUGUGAAAAUCCGAGGCUCAACCUCGGACUUGCAGUGGGUACGGGCAGACUAGAGUGUGGUAGGGGAGACUGGAAUUCCUGGUGUAGCGGUGGAAUGCGCAGAUAUCAGGAGGAACACCAAUAGCGAAGGCAGCUCGCUGGGACGUUACUGACGCUGAGGCGCGAAAGCGUGGGGAGCGAACAGG
rnacentral:rRNA from 1 species